UGAAGGAUUUAUUUCUUCAGUCAAAGGCAGA
rnacentral:piRNA from 1 species